rnacentral:rRNA from 1 species
AGAGUUGAUCCUGGCUUAGAACGAACGCUGGCGGCGCGUUUAAGCAUGCAAGUCGAGCGGCAAGGGCCUUCGGGCCCCUAGAGCGGCGGACGGGUGAGUAACACGUGGACAAUCCUGCCCCCCGGCCCGGGAUAGCCCAGGGAAACCUGGAUUAAUACCGGAUGGAGACGGGACCCGCGAUGGCGGGAUCCGGGAAAGGCGCUGCGGCGCCGCCGGGGGAUGAGUCUGCGUCCCAUUAGCUAGACGGCGGGGUAACGGCCCACCGUGGCGACGAUGGGUAGCCGGCCUGAGAGGGUGGACGGCCACAUUGGAACUGAGACACGGUCCAGACUCCUACGGGAGGCAGCAGUGGGGAAUAUUGCGCAAUGGGGGAAACCCUGACGCAGCGACGCCCGCGUGAGCGAAGAAGGCCUUCGGGUUGUAAAGCUCUGUUGUAAGGGACGAAUGUCUAGGGUAGUAACUGACCUUAGAAUGACGGUACCUUACCAGCAAGCCCCGGCUAACUACGUGCCAGCCGCGGC